UACGGAGGGUGCAAGCGUUGUCCGGAUUUAUUGGGCUUAAAGGGUGCGUAGGUGGGUUCUCAAGUCUGGUUUGAAAGUUAGCUGCUCAACAGUUAGACGUGACUGGAAACUGGGGUUCUGGAAUGGGGUGGCGGCUGCCGGAACGCGUCAUGUAGCGGUGAAAUGCAUAGAUAUGUCGCGGAACACCGAUUGCGAAGGCAGGCAGCUACGACCUGAUUGACACUGAGGCACGAGAGCAUGGGUAGCGAACAGG
rnacentral:rRNA from 1 species